rnacentral:rRNA from 1 species
CGUGGGUAACCUGCCCAAGAGACUGGGAUAACACCUGGAAACAGAUGCUAAUACCGGAUAACAACACUAGACGCAUGUCUAGAGUUUAAAAGAUGGUUCUGCUAUCACUCUUGGAUGGACCUGCGGUGCAUUAGCUAGUUGGUAAGGUAACGGCUUACCAAGGAAAUGAUGCAUAGCCGAGUUGAGAGACUGAUCGGCCACAUUGGGACUGAGACACGGCCCAGACUCCUACGGGAGGCAGCAG